AACGAACGCUGGCGGCGUGCCUAACACAUGCAAGUCGAACGGAAUGAGGGGGCUUGCUCCUUCAUUUAGUGGCGCACGGGUGAGUAACGCGUAGAUAAUCUGCCUGAUGAUCUGGGAUAACACUUCGAAAGGGGUGCUAAUACCGGAUAAGCCCACGGGGGUCUUUGGAUUCUGCGGGAAAAGGGGGGCCGUUUAGGUCUCUGUCAUCAGAUGAGUCUGCGUACCAUUAGCUAGUUGGUAGGGUAAAGGCCUACCAAGGCUACGAUGGUUAGCUGGUCUGAGAGGAUGAUCAGCCACACUGGAACUGAGACACGGUCCAGACUCCUACGGGAGGCAG
rnacentral:rRNA from 1 species